GACAGAGGUGCCGAGCGUUAGGCGGAAUCACUGGGCUUAAAGCGUGUGUAGGCGGGCCGUUAAGUACCUUGUGAAAUCCCCCGGCUCAACCGGGGAACGGCUGGGUAUACUGGCGGCCUUGAGAGGCCUAGGGGCGAGCGGAACAAGCGGUGGAGCGGUGAAAUGCGCAGAUAUCGGGAGGAACACCAGUAGCGAAGGCGGCUCGCUGGGCCACACCUGACGCUGAGACGCGAAAGCUAGGGGAGCGAACAGG
rnacentral:rRNA from 1 species